GACGAACCGUGCGAACGUUAUUCGGAAUCACUGGGCUUAAAGCGCGUGUAGGCGGGUCGGUACGUCGGUCGCUGAAAUCCCCCGGCUCAACCGGGGAACGGGCGCCGAAACGGCUGGCCUGGAGGGGGGUAGGGGAAUCGGGAACUUCCGGUGGAGCGGUGAAAUGCGUUGAGAUCGGAAGGAACGCCCGUGGCGAAAGCGCGAUUCUGGACCCUUUCUGACGCUGAGACGCGAAAGCCAGGGGAGCGAACGGG
rnacentral:rRNA from 1 species